rnacentral:rRNA from 1 species
CCUACGGGAGGCAGCAGUAGGGAAUAUUGCUCAAUGGGCGAAACCCUGAAGCAGCAACGCCGCGUGGAGGAUGAAGGUUUUAGGAUUGUAAACUCCUUUUGUGAGAGAAGAAAAUGACGGUAACUCACGAAUAAGGACCGGCUAACUCCGUGCCAGCAGCCGCGGUAAUACGGAGGGUGCAAGCGUUAUCCGGAAUCACUGGGCGUAAAGAGUGUGCAGGCGGGCUUGUAAGUUAGAUGUGAAAUCCUGUAGCUUAACUACAGGACUGUAUUUGAAACUGUGUGGCUAGAGUGUGUGAGAGGUAAGUGGAAUUCUUGGUGUAGGAGUGAAAUCCGUAGAUAUCAAGAGGAAUACUCAUUGCGAAGGCAGCCUACUGGAACAUUACUGACGCUGAGGCACGAAAGCGUGGGGAGCAAACAGGAUUAGAUACCCCAGUAGUC